rfam:Picea glauca, whole genome shotgun sequence.
AUCGGUGCGAUGAUUAUAAUGAAAUUCCUCGUACUGAAAGCAAAAGCAUGAGAGACUACAAUCACCCAUAGAAUAUGAGCACCG